rnacentral:tRNA from 1 species
GGGCCCAUAGUAUAGUGGUAAAACACCUCCAUGGCAUGGAGGAAUCCGGGGUCCGACUCCCCGUGGGUCCA